rnacentral:lncRNA from 1 species
CGCUGUGGUUCCUCAUGCCCUGUGGAAGAGUUAGUCUGUCACGCUCAGUCCAAGUGUCAACUGUGUGAAGCGAAAGGAGUCAUGCGCAGAGAGCAGUGAGACAACAGCGUGGGUGGGAGGCUACUCUGCAGAAGAGGGAAGGCAUCGCUGGGUUAGAAGCAUUCCAAAGUGUUCAUUCCAAAGUGUAAGGCAAAUACAAGAGGCUUUCUAGAUUGAGACUGAGAAGACCCAUGGAGACGGAGUGUGGUCCCAAGGAGAAGUGUGGGCAGUGACACAUGGUCUCUCCGAUGGUGUGAGCACAGGUCAGUAUCAGACAGACUUUAAGUGACACAUGGUCUGUCCGAUGGUGUGAGCACAGGUCAGUAUCAGACAGACUUAAGGCCAAGGUCCCAAAGCAUUUUCAGGCAUUCCCUUAGUCCUUGCAUCCUUAUAGAGAAUUCUGAUUAAUCUUAUUUUUAUUGAUUAUUAAUCUUAUUUUACUGAAUGUAUAAUAUAGAUUAUAAAUGCUGAAGAGUUUGGCCUCAAGCAUAACAAAUUACCAAGAGCUCACCUUUGUUUCUGUAUGACUCCUUAGAUUCUAAGCACCUGAACAGUAAGAAAAAUUUGUUUAAGCUAUUCUGAUUUUUAUUUCGGGGCUCCAUAGCUGAGGAUUAAACCCCUGCCACCAGGAGCAUGCACAUACCCAG